UACGAAGGGUGCAAGCGUUAAUCGGAAUCACUGGGCGUAAAGGGAGCGUAGGCGGGCUUCUAAGUUAGAUGUUUAAUCCCGGGGCCCAACCCCGGACAGGCACCUAAAACUGGAAGUCUUGAAUAGUGGAGAGGACGGCGGAAUUGGGGGUGUAGCGGUGGAAUGCGUAGAGAUCCCCAAGAACACCAGUUGCGAAGGCGGCCGUCUGGACACAUAUUGACGCUGAGGCUCGAAAGCAUGGGGAGCAAACAGG
rnacentral:rRNA from 1 species